AGCGUUAUUCGGAAUUAUUGGGCGUAAAGGGCGCGUAGGCGGCUGGGCAAGUCAAAGGUGAAAUCCCUCGGCUCAACUGAGGAACUGCCUUUGAAACUGCCUGGCUUGAGGCCGGGAGGGGGUAGCGGAAUUCCCAGUGUAGAGGUGAAAUUCGUAGAUAUCGGGAGGAACACCAGUGGCGAAGGCGGCGAUCUGGGAAGAUACUGACGCUGAGGUGCGAAAGCGUGGGGAGCAAACAGG
rnacentral:rRNA from 1 species